rnacentral:rRNA from 1 species
CGUGAGUAACCUGCCCUUGACUCUGGGAUAAGCGCUGGAAACGGCGUCUAAUACCGGAUACGACCUGCCCCGGCAUCGGGUGCGGGUGGAAAGUUUUUCGGUCAAGGAUGGACUCGCGGCCUAUCAGCUUGUUGGUGAGGUAAUGGCUCACCAAGGCGACGACGGGUAGCCGGCCUGAGAGGGUGACCGGCCACACUGGGACUGAGACACGGCCCAGACUCCUACGGGAGGCAGCAGUGGGGAAUAUUGCACAAUGGGCGAAAGCCUGAUGCAGCAACGCCGCGUGGGGGAUGACGGCCUUCGGGUUGUAAACCUCUUUUAGUAGGGAAGAAGGGCUUCGGCUUGACGGUACCUGCAGAAAAAGCACCGGCUAACUACGUGCCAGCAGCCGCGGUAAUACGUAGGGUGCAAGCGUUGUCCGGAAUUAUUGGGCGUAAAGAGCUCGUAGGCGGUUUGUCGCGUCUGCUGUGAAAACCCGAGGCUCAACC